GAGAGAGAGAGAGAGAAAGUAAAAGGUACUUAGCUCUCAGAUCUCUUAGGCAGCUCAAGUGCAAUACCUUUCCUGCAAUAUAUCCAGCAAGCUACAUUAUCUGGCUUUAAAGAUGUCUUUGAAGGUCAUGAAAAGUGUCAACGCAGACUGGGCAAUGCUGACUUCCUGGACUCUUAUCAUACCAAGAACGUAUUGCUUAGCGCAGCGGAGCCUUCCAUGGGUCAGAAUCCCACUGUCCGGGCUGCGGAUCGGCAGUAGAUUUGCCAAGGCUAGCACGGUGGAAAAAUCGGUGGAAGCCAUGCUGUUGCAGUUCCACUUGUGCCCGCUCCUCCCGCUCUCUGCAGCAACCUGGAAGGAGCGCCCACAGAGCACAGCUCUGCGUCACAUCCAUCUGCAGCCUCCUAAUGCCCUGCCAGCCCUCCCAUGCAGGAGUCAAAUGAAGAGUUAAUAUGGACCAAUAUGCUUUUUAUUGGACAAGACAACCCAGUAGAACACUAUGAUCCACUGGUCAUAGAUCAUAACAGUAUCAUUCUGAUUUGUCUCAUGCCAGACCUAGAAAGAAUA